rnacentral:tRNA from 4 species
GCGAUCGUAGCUCAGCUGGUUAGAGCAUCGGUUUGUGGUACCGAGGGUCGCGGGUUCAAGCCCCGUCGAUCGCCCCA